rnacentral:piRNA from 1 species
UACAGCACUUUCAGGUUUCAUUUUGGGGUC